rnacentral:lncRNA from 1 species
GAUGAAACACGAGGGCUUCCCGGGAGGUCACCCAUCCUAGUACUACUCUCGCCCAAGCACGCUUAACUAAAGGUCAAAAUUUAGAGUCGACAAAAAAUCAAUGGAUAUGUUCCAUUGUCCUGCUUCUUUCAUCAGAGGGCUCUCUUUGGGCUUUCCGAAAAGGUAUCACAUGCCAAGUUUGGCCUCACUGUUUAAAAGUUGUAGAGUCAUAAAGUUUUAACCAAUGAAAAAAAUUUUUAAAAAAAGAGGGAUGCAACACGAGGACUUCCCAGGAGGUCACCCAUCCUAAUACUACUCUCGCUCAAGCACACUUAACUGCGGAGUUCUGAUGGGAUCCGGUGUAUUAGUGCUGGUAUGAUCUCAUCUGUUAGUAUAUGCAAUGCAAUCGUAUAUAUUCUUUUUGAAAGAAUUGAUGAACCUUCGCCGUGGGUCCCACCCGCUGUAUAGGGACACCCCAUCUAGUCUUAACGAGCUUUGAUGCAUAAAAAAAUUCUAAAACAAUGCUUUAACAAGUAAUUUUGGGUCCGUAAUAUAGCCCAAAUCACAAAAAUGCGCGAAAAAGUAUUUAAAGGUCAAAAUUUGGGUUCGACAAAAAGUCAAUGGAAAAGUUCGUUUGUCGUGCUUCUUUCGUCGGAAGGCUCUCUUUGGGAUUUCCGAAAAGGUAGCACAUGCCUAGUUUGGCCUCACGGUAUAAAAGUUAUAGAGUUAUAAAGUUUUAACCAAAAAAAACAAAUUAAAAAAAAAGAGGGAUGCAACACGAGGACUUCCCGGGAGGUCUCCCAUCCUAAUACUACUCUCGCCCAAGCCCGCUUAACUGCGGAGUUCUGAUGGGAUCCGGUGUUUUAGUGCUGGUAUGAUCGCAUCCGUUAGUAUAUGCAAUGCAAUCUUAUAUAUUCUUUUUUGAAGACUUGAUGAACCAUUCUUCGUGGGUCCCACCCGCUGUGUAGGGAUACCCCAUCUAGUCUUAACGAGCUUUGCUGCAUUGAAAAAAUUCUAAAACAAUGCUUGAACAAGUAAUCUUUGGUCCGUAAUAUAUCCCAAAUCACAAAAAUACCCGAAAAAGUACUUAAAGGUCAAAAUUUGGGGUCGACAAAAAGUCAAUGGAAAAGUUCCUUUGUCCUGCUUCUUUCGUCGGAGGGCUCUCUUUGGGCUUUCCGAAAAGGUAUCACAUGUCAAGUUUGGCCUCACGGUAUAAAAGUUAUAGAGUCAUAAAGUUUUAACCAAAAAAAACAAAUUAAAAACAAAGAGGGAUACAACACGAGGACUUCUCGGGAGGUCACCCAUCCUAGUACUACUCUCGCCCAAGCACGCUUAACUAAAGGUCAAAAUUUGGAGUCGACAAAAAGUCAAUGGAUAUGUUCCAUUGUCCUGCUACUUUCAUCGUAGGGCUCUCUUUGAGCUUUUCGAAAAGGUAUCACAUGCCAAGUUUGGCCUGACGGUAUAAAAGUUAUAGAGUCAUAAAGUUUUAACCAAUAAAAAAAAUUAAAAAAAAAGUGUGAUGCAACACGAAGACUUCCCGGGAGGUCACCCAUCCUAGUACUACUCUCGCCCAAGCCCGCUUAACUGCGGAGUUCUGAUGGGAUCCGGUGUAUUAGUGCUGCUAUGAUCUUAUCUGUUAGUAUAUGCAAUGCAAUCGUAUAUAUUCUUUUUGGAAGAAUUGAUGAACCAUUCGCCGUGGGUCCCACCCGCUGUGUAGGGAUACCCCAUCUAGUCUUAACGAGCUUUGAUGCAUGAUAAAAUUCUAAAACAAUGCUUGAACAAGUAAUUUUGGAUCCGUAAUAUAGCCCAAAUCACAAAAAUACCCGAAAAAGUACUUAAAGGUCAAAAUUUGGGGUCGACAAAAAGUCAAUGAAAAAGUUCCUUUGUCCUGCUUCUUUCGUCGGAGGGCUCUCUUUGGGCUAUUCGAAAAGGUAUCACAUGCCAAGUUUGGCCUCACGGUAUAAAAGUUAUAGAGUCCUAAAGUUUUAACCAAAAAAAACAAAUUAAAAAAAAAGAGGGAUGCAACACGAGGACUUCCCGGGAGGUCACCCAUCCUAGUACUACUCUCGCCCAAGCACGCUUAACUAAAUGUCAAAAUUUGGAGUCGACAAAAAAUCAAUUGAUAUGUUCCAUUGUCCUGCUACUUUCAUCGGAGGGCUCUCUUUGGGCUUUCCGAAAAUGUAUCACAUGCCAAGUUUGGCCUCACUGUAUAAAAGUUAUACAGUCAUAAAGUUUUAACCAAAGAAAAAUAUUAAAAAAAAAGGGAUGCAACACGAGGACUUCCCUGAGGUCACCAAUCCUAGUACUACUCUCGCCCAAGCACGCUUAACUACGGAGUUUUGAUGGGAUCUGGUGUAUUAGUGCUGGUAUAAUCUCAUCCGUUAGUAUAGGCAAUGCAAUGGUGUAUAUUCUUUUUUGAAGACUUGAUGAACCAUUCGUCGUGGGUCCCACCCGCUGUGUAGGGAUACCCCAUCUAGUCUUAACGAGCUUUGAUCAUGAAAAAAAUUCUAAAACAAUGCUUGAACAAGUAAUUUUGGGUCCGUAAUAUAGCCCAAAUCACAAAAUACCCGAAAAAGUACUUAAAGGUCAAAAUUUGGGAUCGACAAAAAGUCAAUGGAAAAGUUCGUUUGUCCUGCUUCUUUCGUCGGAGGGCUCUUUUUGGGCUUUCCGAAAAGGUAUCACAUGCCAAGUUUGGCCUCACGGUAUAAAAGUUAUAGAAUCAUAAAGUUUUAACCAAAAAAAACAAAUUAAAAAAAAAGAGGGAUGCAACACGAGGACUUCCCGGGAGGUCACCCAUCCUAGUACUACUCUCGCCCAAGCACGCUUAACUAAAGGUUAAAAUUUGGAGUCGACAAAAAAUCAAUGGAUAUGUUCCAUUGUCCUGCUUCUUUCAUCGGAGAGCUCUCUUUGGGCUUUCCGAAAAGGUAUCACAUGCCAAGUUUGGCCUCACUGUAUAAAAGUUAUAGAGUCAUAAAGUUUUAACCAAUGAAAAAAAUUAAAAAAAAAGAGGGAUGCAACACGAGGACUUCCCGGGAGGUCACCCAUCCUAGUACUACUCUCGCCCAAGCCCCCUUAACUGCGGAGUUCUGAUGGGAUCCGGUGUAUUAGUGUUGGUAUGAUCUUAUCUGUUAGUAUAUGCAAUGCAAUCGUAUAUAUUCUUUUUGGAAGAAUUGAUGAACCAUUCGCCGUGGGUCCCACCCGCUGUGUAGGGAUACCCCAACUAGUCUUAACGAGCUUUGAUGCAUGAAAAAAUUCUAAAACAAUGCUUGAACAAGUUAUUUUGGGUCCGUAAUCUAGCCCAAAUCACAAAAAUGCCCGAAAAAGUACUUAAAGGUCAAAAUUUGUGGUCGGCAAAAAGUCAAAGGAAAAGUUCGUUUGUCCUGUUUCUUUCGUCGGAGGGUUCUCUUUGGGAUUUCCGAAAAGGUAUCACAUGCCUAGUUUGGCCUCACGGUAUAAAAGUUAUAGAGUCAUAAAGUUUUAACCAAAAAAAACAAAUUAAAAAAAAAGAGGGAUGCAACACGAGGACUUCCCGGGAGGUCACCCAUCCUAGUACAAUAUUCGCCCAAGCACGCUUAACUGCGGAGUUCUGAUGGGAUCUCGUGUAUUAGUGCUGGUAUGAUCGCAUACGUUAGUAUAUGCAAUGCAAUCGUAUAUAUUCUUUUUUGAAGACUUGAUGAACCAUUCGUCGUGGGUCGCACCCGCUAUGUAGGAUACCCCAUCUAGUCUUAACGAGCUUUGAAGCAUGAAAAAAUUCUAAAACAAUGAUUGAACAAGUAAUUUUGUGUCCGUAAUAUAGCCCAAAUCACAAAUAUGCCCGAAAAAGUACUUAAAGGUCAAAAUUUGGGAUCGACAAAAAGUCAAUAAAAUUGUUCCAUUGUCCUGCUUCUUUCGUCGGAGGGCUCUCUUUACGCUUUCCGAAAAGAUAUCACAUGCCAAGUUUGGCCUCACGGUAUAAAAAUUAUAGAGUCAUAAAGUUUUAACCAAAAAAAACAAUUUAAAAAAAAAGAAGGAUGAAACACGAGGACUUCCCGGGAGGUCACCCAUCCUAGUACUACUCUCGCCCAAGCACGCUUAACUAAAGGUCAAAAUUUAGAGUCGACAAAAAAUCAAUGGAUAUGUUCCAUUGUCCUGCUUCUUUCAUCAGAGGGCUCUCUUUGGGCUUUCCGAAAAGGUAUCACAUGCCAAGUUUGGCCUCACUGUUUAAAAGUUGUAGAGUCAUAAAGUUUUAACCAAUGAAAAAAAUUUUUAAAAAAAGAGGGAUGCAACACGAGGACUUCCCAGGAGGUCACCCAUCCUAAUACUACUCUCGCUCAAGCACACUUAACUGCGGAGUUCUGAUGGGAUCCGGUGUAUUAGUGCUGGUAUGAUCUCAUCUGUUAGUAUAUGCAAUGCAAUCGUAUAUAUUCUUUUUGAAAGAAUUGAUGAACCUUCGCCGUGGGUCCCACCCGCUGUAUAGGGACACCCCAUCUAGUCUUAACGAGCUUUGAUGCAUAAAAAAAUUCUAAAACAAUGCUUUAACAAGUAAUUUUGGGUCCGUAAUAUAGCCCAAAUCACAAAAAUGCGCGAAAAAGUAUUUAAAGGUCAAAAUUUGGGUUCGACAAAAAGUCAAUGGAAAAGUUCGUUUGUCGUGCUUCUUUCGUCGGAAGGCUCUCUUUGGGAUUUCCGAAAAGGUAGCACAUGCCUAGUUUGGCCUCACGGUAUAAAAGUUAUAGAGUUAUAAAGUUUUAACCAAAAAAAACAAAUUAAAAAAAAGAGGGAUGCAACACGAGGACUUCCCGGGAGGUCACCCAUCCUAGUACUACUCUCGCCCAAGCACGCUUAACGAAAGGUCAAAAUUUGGAGUCGACAAAAACUCAAUACAUAUGUUCCAUUGUCCUGCUUCUUUCAUCGGAGGGCUUUCUUUGGGCUUUCCGAAAAGGUAUCACAUGCCUAGUUUGGCCUCUCGGUAUAAAAGUUAUAGAGUCAUAAAGUUUUAACCAAAGAAAAAAAUUAAAAAAAAAGAGAGAUACAACACGAGGACUUCCCGGGAGGUCACCCAUCCUAGUACUACUCUCGCCCAAGCAUGCUUAACUGCGGAUUUCUGAUGGGAUCCGGUGUAUUAGUGCUGGUAUGAUCGCAUCCGUUAGUAUAUGCAAUGCAAUCGUAUAUAUUCUUUUUUGAAGACUUGAUGAACCAUUCGCCGUGGGUCGCACCCGCUAUGUAGGGAUACCCCAUCUAGUCUUAACGAGCUUUGAUGCAUGAUAAAAUUCUAAUACAAUGAUUGAACAAGUAAUUUUGGGUCCGUAAUAUAGCCCAAAUCACAAAUAUGACCGAAAAAGUACUUAAAGGUCAAAAUUUGGGAUCGACAAAAAGUCAAUGAAAUUGUUCCAUUGUCCUGCUUCUUUCGUCGGAGGGCUCUCUUUACGCUUUCCGAAAAGGUAUCACAUGCCAAGUUUGGCCUCACGGUAUAUAAGUUAUAGAGUCAUAAAGUUUUAACCAAAAAAAACAAAUUAAAAAAAAAGAAGGAUGCAACACGAGGACUUCCCGGGAGGUCACCCAUCCUAGUACUACUCUCGCCCAAGCACGCUUAACUAAAGGUCAAAAUUUGGAGUCGACAAAAAAUCAAUGGAUAAGUUCCAUUGUCCUGCUUCUUUCAUCGGAAGGCUCUCUUUGGGCUUUCCGAAAAGGUAUCACAUGCCAAGUUUGGCUUGACGGUAUAAAAGUUAUAUAGUCAUAAAGUUUUAACAAAAAAAAAACAAAUUAAAAAAAAAGAGGGAUGCAACACGAGGACUUCUCGGGAGGUCACCCAUCCUAGUACUACUCUCGCCCAAGCACGCUUAACUAAAGGUCAAAAUUUGGAGUCGACAAAAACUCAAUACAUAUGUUCCAUUGUCCUGCUUCUUUCAUCUGAGGGCUCUCUUUGGCUUUCCGAAAAGGUAUCACAUGCCAAGUUUGGCCUCACUAUAUAAAAGUUAUAGAGUCAUAAAGUUUUAACCAAUGAAACAAAUUAAAAAAAACAGAGAGAUGCAACACGAGGACUUCCCGGGAGGUCACCCAUCCUAGUACUACUCUCGCCCAAGCACGCUUAACUGCGGAGUUCUGAUGGGAUCCAGUGUAUUAGUGUUAGUAUGAUCGCAUCCGUUAGUAUAUGGAAUGCAAUCGUAUAUAUUCUUUUUUGAAGACCUGAUAAACCAUUCGCCGUGGGUCGCACCCGCUAUGUAGGGAUACCCCAUCUAGUCUUAACGAGCUUUGAAGCAUGCAAAAAUUCUAAAACAAUGCUUCAACAAGUAAUUUUGGGUCCGUAAUAUAGCCCAAAUCACAAAUAUGCCCGAAAAAGUACUUAAAGGUCAAAAUUUGGGAUCGACAAAAAGUCAAUGAAAUUGUUCCGUUGUCUUGCUUCUUUUGUCGGAAGGCUCUCUUUACGCUUUCCGAAAAGGUAUCACAUGCCAAGUUUGACCUCACGGUAUAAAAGUUAUAGAGUCAUAAAGUUUUAACCAAAAAAAACAAAUUAAAAAAAAAAGAAGGAUGCAACACGAGGACUUCCCGGGAGGUCACCCAUCCUAAUACUACUCUCGCCCAAGCACGCUUAACUAAAGGUCAAAAUUUGGAGUCGACAAAAAAUCAAUGGAUAAGUUCCAUUGUCCUGCUUCUUUCAUCGGAGGGCUCUCUUUGGGCUUUCCGAAAAGGUAUCAGAUGCCAAGUUUGGCCUGACGGUAUAAAAGUUAUAGAGUCAUAAAUUUUUAACAAAAAAAAAACAAAUUAAUAAAAAAGAGGGAUGCAACACGAGGACUUCCCGGGAGGUCACCCAUCCUAGUACUACUCUAGCCCAAGCACGCUUAACUAAAGGUCAAAAUUUGGAGUCGACAAAAACUCAAUACAUAUGUUCCAUUGUCCUGCUUCUUUCAUCCGAGGGCUCUCUUUGGGCUUUCCGAAAAAGGUAUCACAUGCCAAGUUUGGCCUCACUGUAUAAAAGUUAUAGAGUCAUAAAGUUUUAACCAAAGAAAAAAAUUAAAAAAAAAAGAGGGAUGCAAGACAAGGACUUCCCGGGAGGUCACCCAUCUUAGUACUACUCUCGCCCAAGCACGCUUAACUACGGUGUUCUGAUGGGAUCCGGUGUAUUAGUGCUGGUAUGAUCACAUCCGUUAGUAUAUGCAAUGCAAUCGUAUAUAUUCUUUUUGGAAGAAUUGAUGAACCAUUCGCCAUGGGCCCCAUCCGCUAUGUAGGGAUACCCCAUCUAGUCUUAACGAGCUUUGAUGCAUGAAAAAAUUCUAAAACAAUGCUUGAACAAGUAAUUUUUGGUCCGUAAUAUAGCCCAAAUCACAAAAAUACGCGAAAAGUACUUAAAGGUCAAAAUUUAGGGUCGACAAAAAGUCAAUGGAAAAGUUUGUUUGUCCUGCUUCUUUCGUCGGAGGGCUCUCUUUGGGCUUUCCGAAAAGGUAUCACAUGCCAAGUUUGGCCUCACGGUAUAAAAGUUAUAGAAUCAUAAAGUUUUAACCAAAAAAAACAAAUUAAAAAAAAACAGGGAUGCAACACGAGGAGUUCCCAGGAGGUCACCCAUCCUAGUACUACUCUCGCCCAAGCAUGCUUAACAAAAGGUUAAAAUUUAGAGUCGACAAAAAAUCAAUGGAUAUGUUCCAUUGUCCUGCUUCUUUCAUCGGAGGGCUCUCUUUGGGCUUUCCGAAAAUGUAUCACAUGCCAAGUUUGGCCUCACUGUAUAAAAGUUAUAGAGUCAUAAAGUUUUAACCAAAGAAAAAAAUUAAAAAAAAGAGGGAUGAGACACGAGGACUUCCCGGGAGGUCAUCCAUCUUAGUACUACUCUCGCCCAAGCACGCUUAACUGCGGAGUUCUGAUGGGAUCCGGUGUAUUAGUGCUGGUAUGAUCACAUCCGUUAGUAUAUGCAAUACAAUCGUAUAUAUUGUUUUUUGAAGACUUGAUGAACCAUUUGCCAUAGGUCUCAUCCGCUAUGUAGGGAUACCUCAUCUACUCUUAACGAGCUUUGAUGCAUGAAAAAAUUCUAAAACAAUGCUUGAACAAGUAAUUUUGGGUUCGUAAUAUAACCCAAAUCACAAAAAUACCCGAAAAAGUACUUAAAGGUCAAAAUUUGGGGUCGACAAAAAGUCAAUGGAAAAGUUCCUUUGUCCUGCUUCUUUCGUCGGAGGGCUCUUUUUGGGCUUUCCGAAAAGUUAUUACAUGCCAAGUUUGGCCUCACGGUAUAAAAGUUAUAGAGUCAUAAAGUUUUAACCAAAGAAAAAAAUUAAAAAAAAGAGGGAUGCAACACGAGGACUUCCCGGGAGGUCACCCAUCCUAGUACUACUCUUGCCCAAGCACGCUUAACUGCGGAGUUCUGAUGUGAUCCAGU